CCUACGGGGGGCAGCAGUGAGGAAUAUUGGUCAAUGGACGAGAGUCUGAACCAGCCAAGUAGCGUGAAGGAUGACUGCCCUAUGGGUUGUAAACUUCUUUUAUAAAGGAAUAAAACGAGGCACGUGUGCCUUUUUGCAUGUACUUUAUGAAUAAGGAUCGGCUAACUCCGUGCCAGCAGCCGCGGUAAUACGGAGGAUCCGAGCGUUAUCCGGAUUUAUUGGGUUUAAAGGGGGCGGAGAUGGGUUGUUAAGUCAGUUGUGAAAGUUUGCGGCUCAACCGUAAAAUUGCAAUUGAUACUGGCAGUCUAGAGAACAGAUGAGGUAGGCGGAAUACGUGGAGUAGCGGUGAAAUGCUUAGAUAUCACGAAGAACCCCGAUUGCGAAGGCAGCUUACUAGACUGUGACUGACAUUGAUGCUCGAAAGUGUGGGUAUCAAACAGGAUUAGAUACCCUAGUAGUC
rnacentral:rRNA from 1 species